AGUGAACGCUGGCGGCAGGCCUAACACAUGCAAGUCGAACGGCAGCACAAGAGAGCUUGCUCUCUGGGUGGCGAGUGGCGGACGGGUGAGGAAUGCAUCGGAAUCUGCCCAUUUGUGGGGGAUAACCUCGGGAAACCGGGACUAAUACCGCAUACGACCUACGGGUGAAAGCAGGGGAUCUUCGGACCUUGCGCAGAUGGAUGAGCCGAUGCCGGAUUAGCUAGUUGGAGGGGUAAAGGCCCACCAAGGCGACGAUCCGUAGCUGGUCUGAGAGGAUGAUCAGCCACACUGGGACUGAGACACGGCCCAGACUCCUACGGGAGGCAGCAGUGGGGAAUAUUGGACAAUGGGCGCAAGCCUGAUCCAGCCAUGCCGCGUGUGUGAAGAAGGCCUUCGGGUUGUAAAGCACUUUUGUUGGGAAAGAAAAGCAGCCGGUUAAGACCCGGUUGUCAUGACGGUACCCAAAGAAUAAGCACCGGCUAACUUCGU
rnacentral:rRNA from 1 species